UGGGGGAUAUUGCACAAUGGGCGAAAGCCUGAUGCAGCGACGCCGCGUGGGGGAUGAAGGCUUUCGGGUUGUAAACCUCUUUCGCUAUCGAACAAGGCCCGCUUAGGGUGGGUUGAGGGUAGGUGGAGAAGAAGCGCCGGCUAACUACGUGCCAGCAGCCGCGGUAAUACGUAGGGCGCGAGCGUUGUCCGGAAUUAUUGGGCGUAAAGGGCUUGUAGGCGGCUUGUUGCGCCUGCUGUGAAAACGCGGGGCUUAACUUCGCGCGUGCAGUGGGUACGGGCAGGCUUGAGUGUGGUAGGGGUGACUGGAAUUCCAGGUGUAGCGGUGGAAUGCGCAGAUAUCUGGAGGAACACCGAUGGCGAAGGCAGGUCACUGGGCAUUACUGACGCUGAGGAGCGAAAGCAUGGGUAGCGAACAGG
rnacentral:rRNA from 1 species